rnacentral:rRNA from 1 species
CAGUCGAGGGGCAGCAUGGUUUUAGCUUGCUAAGGCCGAUGGCGACCGGCGCACGGGUGAGUAACGCGUAUCCAACCUGCCUUACACUCUUGGACAGCCUUCUGAAAGGGAGAUUAAUACAAGAUGUUAUCAUGAGUAAGCAUUUUCGCAUGAUUAAAGGUUUACCGGUGUAAGAUGGGGAUGCGUUCCAUUAGAUAGUAGGCGGGGUAACGGCCCACCUAGUCUUCGAUGGAUAGGGGUUCUGAGAGGAAGGUCCCCCACAUUGGAACUGAGACACGGUCCAAACUCCUACGGGAGGCAGCAGUGAGGAAUAUUGGUCAAUGGACGAGAGUCUGAACCAGCCAAGUAGCGUGAAGGAUGAAGGUUCUAUGGAUUGUAAACUUCUUUUAUACGGGAAUAAACGAAUCCACGCGUGGAUUUUUGCAUGUACCGUAUGAAUAAAGAUCGGCUAACUCCGUGCCAGCAGCCGCGGUAAUACGGAGGAUCCGAGCGUUAUCCGGAUUUAUUGGGUUUAAAGGGAGCGUAGAUGGGUUGUUAAGUCAGUUGUGAAAGUUUGCGGCUCAACCGUAAAAUUGCAAUUGAUACUGGCAGUCUUGAGUACAGUUGAGGUAGGCGGAAUUCGUGGUGUAGCGGUGAAAUGCUUAGAUAUCACGAAGAACUCCGAUUGCGAAGGCAGCUUACUAACCUGUAACUGACAUUGAUGCUCGAAAGUGUGGGUAUCAAACAGGAUUAGAUACCCUGGUAGUCC